GGGUUGUGAGGUUAAGCGACUAAGCGUACACGGUGGAUGCCCUGGCAGUCAGAGGCGAUGAAGGACGUGCUAAUCUGCGAUAAGCGUCGGUGAGGUGAUAUGAACCGUUAUAACCGGCGAUUUCCGAAUGGGGAAACCCAGUGUGUUUCGACACACUAUCAUUAACUGAAUCCAUAGGUUAAUGAGGCGAACCGGGGGAACUGAAACAUCUAAGUACCCCGAGGAAAAGAAAUCAACCGAGAUUCCCCCAGUAGCGGCGAGCGAACGGGGAGGAGCCCAGAGCCUGAAUCAGUGUGUGUGUUAGUGGAAGCGUCUGGAAAGGCGCGCGAUACAGGGUGACAGCCCCGUACACAAAAAUGCACAUACUGUGAGCUCGAUGAGUAGGGCGGGACACGUGGUAUCCUGUCUGAAUAUGGGGGGACCAUCCUCCAAGGCUAAAUACUCCUGACUGACCGAUAGUGAACCAGUACCGUGAGGGAAAGGCGAAAAGAACCCCGGCGAGGGGAGUGAAAAAGAACCUGAAACCGUGUACGUACAAGCAGUGGGAGCCUCUUAAUGGGGUGACUGCGUACCUUUUGUAUAAUGGGUCAGCGACUUAUAUUCUGUAGCAAGGUUAACCGAAUAGGGGAGCCGAAGGGAAACCGAGUCUUAACUGGGCGUUAAGUUGCAGGGUAUAGACCCGAAACCCAGUGAUCUAGCCAUGGGCAGGUUGAAGGUUGGGUAACACUAACUGGAGGACCGAACCGACUAAUGUUGAAAAAUUAGCGGAUGACUUGUGGCUGGGGGUGAAAGGCCAAUCAAACCGGGAGAUAGCUGGUUCUCCCCGAAAGCUAUUUAGGUAGCGCCUCGUGAAUUCAUCUCCGGGGGUAGAGCACUGUUUCGGCAAGGGGGUCAUCCCGACUUACCAACCCGAUGCAAACUGCGAAUACCGGAGAAUGUUAUCACGGGAGACACACGGCGGGUGCUAACGUCCGUCGUGAAGAGGGAAACAACCCAGACCGCCAGCUAAGGUCCCAAAGUCAUGGUUAAGUGGGAAACGAUGUGGGAAGGCCCAGACAGCCAGGAUGUUGGCUUAGAAGCAGCCAUCAUUUAAAGAAAGCGUAAUAGCUCACUGGUCGAGUCGGCCUGCGCGGAAGAUGUAACGGGGCUAAACCAUGCACCGAAGCUGCGGCAGCGACACUAUGUGUUGUUGGGUAGGGGAGCGUUCUGUAAGCCUGUGAAGGUGUACUGUGAGGUAUGCUGGAGGUAUCAGAAGUGCGAAUGCUGACAUAAGUAACGAUAAAGCGGGUGAAAAGCCCGCUCGCCGGAAGACCAAGGGUUCCUGUCCAACGUUAAUCGGGGCAGGGUGAGUCGACCCCUAAGGCGAGGCCGAAAGGCGUAGUCGAUGGGAAACAGGUUAAUAUUCCUGUACUUGGUGUUACUGCGAAGGGGGGACGGAGAAGGCUAUGUUGGCCGGGCGACGGUUGUCCCGGUUUAAGCGUGUAGGCUGGUUUUCCAGGCAAAUCCGGAAAAUCAAGGCUGAGGCGUGAUGACGAGGCACUACGGUGCUGAAGCGACAAAUGCCCUGCUUCCAGGAAAAGCCUCUAAGCAUCAGGUAACAUCAAAUCGUACCCCAAACCGACACAGGUGGUCAGGUAGAGAAUACCAAGGCGCUUGAGAGAACUCGGGUGAAGGAACUAGGCAAAAUGGUGCCGUAACUUCGGGAGAAGGCACGCUGAUAUGUAGGUGAAGCGACUUGCUCGUGGAGCUGAAAUCAGUCGAAGAUACCAGCUGGCUGCAACUGUUUAUUAAAAACACAGCACUGUGCAAACACGAAAGUGGACGUAUACGGUGUGACGCCUGCCCGGUGCCGGAAGGUUAAUUGAUGGGGUUAGCGGUAACGCGAAGCUCUUGAUCGAAGCCCCGGUAAACGGCGGCCGUAACUAUAACGGUCCUAAGGUAGCGAAAUUCCUUGUCGGGUAAGUUCCGACCUGCACGAAUGGCGUAAUGAUGGCCAGGCUGUCUCCACCCGAGACUCAGUGAAAUUGAACUCGCUGUGAAGAUGCAGUGUACCCGCGGCAAGACGGAAAGACCCCGUGAACCUUUACUAUAGCUUGACACUGAACAUUGAGCCUUGAUGUGUAGGAUAGGUGGGAGGCUUUGAAGUGUGGACGCCAGUCUGCAUGGAGCCGACCUUGAAAUACCACCCUUUAAUGUUUGAUGUUCUAACGUGGGCCCCUUACCGGGGUUGCGGACAGUGUCUGGUGGGUAGUUUGACUGGGGCGGUCUCCUCCUAAAGAGUAACGGAGGAGCACGAAGGUUGGCUAAUCCUGGUCGGACAUCAGGAGGUUAGUGCAAUGGCAUAAGCCAGCUUGACUGCGAGCGUGACGGCGCGAGCAGGUGCGAAAGCAGGUCAUAGUGAUCCGGUGGUUCUGAAUGGAAGGGCCAUCGCUCAACGGAUAAAAGGUACUCCGGGGAUAACAGGCUGAUACCGCCCAAGAGUUCAUAUCGACGGCGGUGUUUGGCACCUCGAUGUCGGCUCAUCACAUCCUGGGGCUGAAGUAGGUCCCAAGGGUAUGGCUGUUCGCCAUUUAAAGUGGUACGCGAGCUGGGUUUAGAACGUCGUGAGACAGUUCGGUCCCUAUCUGCCGUGGGCGCUGGAGAACUGAGGGGGGCUGCUCCUAGUACGAGAGGACCGGAGUGGACGCAUCACUGGUGUUCGGGUUGUCAUGCCAAUGGCACUGCCCGGUAGCUAAAUGCGGAAGAGAUAAGUGCUGAAAGCAUCUAAGCACGAAACUUGCCCCGAGAUGAGUUCUCCCUGACUCCUUGAGAGUCCUGAAGGAACGUUGAAGACGACGACGUUGAUAGGCCGGGUGUGUAAGCGCAGCGAUGCGUUGAGCUAACCGGUACUAAUGAACCGUGAGGCUUAACCUUACAACGCCGAAG
rnacentral:rRNA from 1 species